rnacentral:rRNA from 1 species
GUGUACCCCCACACAAUUACACCCGCCAGAAGAUUACGAGCCCAGCUUAAAACUCAAAGGACUUGACGGUACUUCGAACCCACCUAGAGGAGCCUGUCCUAUAAUUGAAGAUACACGAUUCACCUAACCCCUCCUUGCCUCUCAGUCUGUAUACCGCCGUCGCCAAACUCGUCCCACUGAGGGAAACAAAACAAGUGCAACAGCCUCCCAGGCUAAUACGUCAGGUCAAGGUGCAGCUAAUGGAGCGGAAGAGAUGUGCUACAUUUUCUAAAAUAGAAAUACGUAACAGAACGCCCUCUGAAAACAGGGCUGUCAAAGCAGAAUCUAGCAGUAAGUUAGGAAAGAGCGCCUAACUGAAGAAGGCCCCGAAGUACGUACAUACCGCCCGUCGCCCUCUUCAAACCCAACAAAAAGUGCCAUCAUACCUCAUGAUAAACACUACACGCGUGAGACGGGGCAAGUCGUAACAAGGUAAGCGUACCGGAAGGUGCUCUUGGAACAU